GAUGUGGGAAGGCACAGACAGCCAGGAUGUUGGCUUAGAAGCAGCCAUCAUUUAAAGAAAGCGUAAUAGCUCACUGGUCGAGUCGGCCUGCGCGGAAGAUGUAACGGGGCUAAACCAUGCACCGAAGCUGCGGCAGCGACACUAUGUGUUGUUGGGUAGGGGAGCGUUCUGUAAGCCUGCGAAGGUGUGCUGUGAGGCAUGCUGGAGGUAUCAGAAGUGCGAAUGCUGACAUAAGUAACGAUAAAGCGGGUGAAAAGCCCGCUCGCCGGAAGACCAAGGGUUCCUGUCCAACGUUAAUCGGGGCAGGGUGAGUCGACCCCUAAGGCGAGGCCGAAAGGCGUAGUCGAUGGGAAACAGGUUAAUAUUCCUGUACUUGGUGUUACUGCGAAGGGGGGACGGAGAAGGCUAUGUUAGCCGGGCGACGGUUGUCCCGGUUUAAGCAUGUAGGCUGGUUAUCCAGGCAAAUCCGGAUAAUCAAGGCUGAGGUGUGAUGACGAGGCACUACGGUGCUGAAGUAACAAAUGCCCUGCUUCCAGGAAAAGCCUCUAAGCAUCAGGUAACAUCAAAUCGUACCCCAAACCGACACAGGUGGUCAGGUAGAGAAUACCAAGGCGCUUGAGAGAACUCGGGUGAAGGAACUAGGCAAAAUGGUGCCGUAACUUCGGGAGAAGGCACGCUGGUGUGUAGGUGAAGUCCCUGCGGAUGGAGCUGAGACCAGUCGAAGAUACCAGCUGGCUGCAACUGUUUAUUAAAAACACAGCACUGUGCAAACACGAAAGUGGACGUAUACGGUGUGACGCCUGCCCGGUGCCGGAAGGUUAAUUGAUGGGGUUAUCCGUAAGGAGAAGCUCUUGAUCGAAGCCCCGGUAAACGGCGGCCGUAACUAUAACGGUCCUAAGGUAGCGAAAUUCCUUGUCGGGUAAGUUCCGACCUGCACGAAUGGCGUAAUGAUGGCCAGGCUGUCUCCACCCGAGACUCAGUGAAAUUGAACUCGCUGUGAAGAUGCAGUGUACCCGCGGCAAGACGGAAAGACCCCGUGAACCUUUACUAUAGCUUGACACUGAACAUUGAGCCUUGAUGUGUAGGAUAGGUGGGAGGCUUUGAAGCGUGGACGCCAGUCUGCGUGGAGCCAACCUUGAAAUACCACCCUUUAAUGUUUGAUGUUCUAACGUUGGCCCCUGACCGGGGUUGCGGACAGUGUCUGGUGGGUAGUUUGACUGGGGCGGUCUCCUCCCAAAGCGUAACGGAGGAGCACGAAGGUUAGCUAAUCCUGGUCGGACAUCAGGAGGUUAGUGCAAUGGCAUAAGCUAGCUUGACUGCGAGCGUGACGGCGCGAGCAGGUGCGAAAGCAGGUCAUAGUGAUCCGGUGGUUCUGAAUGGAAGGGCCAUCGCUCAACGGAUAAAAGGUACUCCGGGGAUAACAGGCUGAUACCGCCCAAGAGUUCAUAUCGACGGCGGUGUUUGGCACCUCGAUGUCGGCUCAUCACAUCCUGGGGCUGAAGUAGGUCCCAAGGGUAUGGCUGUUCGCCAUUUAAAGUGGUACGCGAGCUGGGUUUAGAACGUCGUGAGACAGUUCGGUCCCUAUCUGCCGUGGGCGCUGGAGAAUUGAGGGGGGCUGCUCCUAGUACGAGAGGACCGGAGUGGACGCAUCACUGGUGUUCGGGUUGUCAUGCCAAUGGCACUGCCCGGUAGCUAAAUGCGGAAGAGAUAAGUGCUGAAAGCAUCUAAGCACGAAACUUGCCCCGAGAUGAGUUCUCCCUGAGACUAUAAGUCUCCUGAAGGAACGUUAAAGACGAUGACGUUGAUAGGCCGGGUGUGUAAGCGCAGCGAUGCGUUGAGCUAACCGGUACUAAUGAACCGUGAGGCUUAACCUU
rnacentral:rRNA from 1 species